AUUUCCAUACAGUAUUGAUAAGGUGCCGAUCAUUUCCAUACAGUAUUGAUAAGGUGCCGAUCAUUUCCAUACAGUAUUGAUAAGGUGCUGAUCAUUUCCACACAGUAUUGAUAAGGUGCCGAUCAUUUCCACACAGUAUUGAUAAGGUGUCGAUCAUUUCCACACAGUAUUGAUAAGGUGCCGAUCAUUUCCAUACAGUAUUGAUAAGGUGCUGAUCAUUUCCACACAGUAUUGAUAAGGUGCUGAUCAUUUCCACACAGUAUUGAUAAGGUGCUGAUCAUUUCCAUACAGUAUUGAUAAGGUGCUGAUCAUUUCCAUACAGUAUUGAUAAGGUGCUGAUCAUUUCCAUACAGUAUUGAUAAGGUGCCGAUCAUUUCCACACAGUAUUGAUAAGGUGCUGAUCAUUUCCACACAGUAUUGAUAAGGUGCUGAUCAUUUCCAUACAGUAUUGAUAAGGUGCCGAUCAUUUCCAUACAGUAUUGAUAAGGUGCCGAUCAUUUCCAUACAGUAUUGAUAAGGUGCCGAUCAUUUCCACACAGUAUUGAUAAGGUGCCGAUCAUUUCCAUACAGUAUUGAUAAGGUGCCGAUCAUUUCCACACAGUAUUGAUAAUGUGCUGAUCAUUUCCAUACAGUAUUGAUAAGGUGCUGAUCAUUAAGUGUCACACAGUAUUGAUAAGGGAAAGGUCAAAUGGGAUACCUAGUGAGUUGGAAAGGUAAAAGGGGAUACCUAGUCAGUACAACCUUAAUGCACCUCAACUGAAAUGUGUAUAUCCGUAUUUAACCUCUGAAUCAGGUGUGGGGGGCUGCAUUAAUCAACAUCCACGUCUUCAGUGGGUUAACUGCCUUGUUCAGGGGAACAGUGUGGUUAGCUGCCUUGUUCAGGGGAACAGUGGGUUAGCUGCCUUGUUCAGGGGAACAGUGGGGUUAGCUGCCUUGUUCAGGGGAACAGUGGGGUUAACUGCCUUGUUCAGGGGAACAGUGGGGUUAACUGCCUUGUUCAGGGGAACAGUGGGGUUAACUGCCUUGUUCAGGGGAACAGUGGGGUUAACUGCCUUGUUCAAGGGAACAGUGGGGUUAG